rnacentral:rRNA from 1 species
UGAGAUGUUGGGUUAAGUCCCGCAACGAGCGCAACCCUUGUCCUUAGUUGCCAGCACGUAAUGGUGGGAACUCUAAGGAGACCGCCGGUGACAAACCGGAGGAAGGUGGGGAUGACGUCAAGUCAUCAUGGCCCUUACGGCCAGGGCUACACACGUACUACAAUGGUAGGGACAGAGGGCUGCAAGCCGGCGACGGUAAGCCAAUCCCAGAAACCCUA